CUGGGUGGCCUUCCCCCACAGACUCGGAGGUGAAGAGGAACGUGCCCUCCUCGAUGAACGCGUCGUGGAAGCCGUUGAGCUGCCCGUUCAUGGUGGUGGCGAGAUCCCCGUUGGCCUUACUUAGGCCAGAAGACAACGGAGCCUGCUGAUGUCUAUACAGGUACCAUAUUAUACGGUAUGAAAGUGUAAAUGUAAUACCACAACCCUACUACCAGCUAUGACAUCUUUGGGUAACUGACCCUAGUGUGCGCUAUUUCCUCCACGAAUAUGUGAGCUGAAAGAUUCAGCCAUUCCAUCUAUGUGGUUGCCUCCAAAGCCCCCCGCCCCGCCUGACCUUUCUGGUGACUCUAGACCCACACAUCCACCUGCUUGAGGGAAAGUUCCACGUUGCUGUCAGACCAAUGCUGGCCCCAGAGUUCAAUGCUCCAAACUGACCUCAUCGUUCUUCCAGGCUUGAAACCUAGGAUCUAUUUUCCACUCCUGCCUCUCCCUUGGCACAGUUAAUCCCCACAGCGGAGUCACCCGCUGCUGCUAGUGGCUUUCACACUCGUCACAUUGUAAAUAGCUGUGAGACGCAGUGGGUAUGUGACCUGUCACACAGACCAGGCAGAAUGGGUCCCCACCUGGAAGAGGCUGGCAUCAGUAUAGAAGUCCAUUAUAAACAUCAAAAGUGGUGUGUGGGGCUUCCCUCGUGGCGCAGUGGUUGAGAGUCCGCCUGCCGAUGUAGGGGACACGGGUUCGUGCCCCGGUCCGGGAGGAUCCCACGUGCCGCGGAGCGGCUGGGCCCGUGGGCCAUGGCCGCUGGGCCUGUGUGUCUGGAGCCUGUGCUCAGCGAUGGGAGAGGUCGCAACGGUGAGAGAUCCGCGUACCGCAAAAAAA